AUGAUUCUUGAUUCAACCCAGAUGAAGAUACUGGCGCUACUGCUGGCACAUUCACAGAAGGCUUCAAGGGGGUUUCCAAGACUUCAACUUUAUCAUGUGAAUCAUUGUUUAGAGGCUCAGAAUUAGAAUUUUGGGAUCUGGGGCUGGCAAAAUUUUGAAGUUGCUGUGAGGAAUUGGGGAAAAAGUAAGAAUAAACUGAAGAGAAGUGAGAUCUAGAUGAUUCAUCAGAAAAAGUACUUCCACUACUAGAACUAGUACUACUGCUGCUUAAAGAGAAGAUAUUAGAGAACCAUGGAGAAGAAGAGUUGGGUGAAGGACUAAAAGCCAAGAAAAAAGUAACAAGAAUGAAAACAAACAUGAACCCAUAUGCACAAGUAACACUUCUUUUGGUUUUAAGAAAAGAGAAGUGAGUUUUCAGGUCUGUAAUCAGAGUUUUUCCACCAUUAAUUGGUGUAUAUUUUGCUGUAUCAGCCAUAUCUGCUUAAUGGGGUGUAAAAAAACAGAGUUUUUAGUGAGGAACACUAUGUAUUGAUAUAAGUUGAGAUGUGGAAAACAAGAAGAGAGAAGAAUGAAAAGCCUUGAGAAGUGAAAAAGGCAGUAAAUGGCAAUGAGAGAGAAAGAGGAAGAAGAAACUUUG
rnacentral:misc_RNA from 1 species